CCCGGCCUGGCCCCAGCGCUCAUUCAUUCGGAUCUUCCUUUCUUCCUCUCCUCCUUCCCCUUGCACCUCCAGGCGCGUGCUCGCUGCUCCCUCCCGCCCCCAAGUCCUGCCGCCGUCCCCGGCUUCUGCCUCCAUCCCCGGCUUCUGCCUCCCCAGCUUGUCCCCCUCGCGUCGAUGUUUGCCCCGCUCCCCAGCUUCCACCACCCCUGCCUCCUCGCGGCUGCCUUUGCUCCUUGCCCCCCUCCUUCUGCUCGUCCCCAGAUCCACACCCCCUUCUCCCCCGGGCUCGCCACGCCUCGCCCGACACCCAGCCCUCCUGGUCACUGGCGUUGAAGUUGGUGUCUUUACUGCUGCCCAUCACUUCGUUUUCCACCUGCAUGGCCAGACUUCCAACUUAUGUGCUGCGUUGACCUUUUGAUUCCCAGCAUUUGAAGUCCAGAUUCUGAGUCUUAGGGUGUGGUCUUAGUGUGUUUCCAAAACACACAAUUUCUACUAUAAUUACCCAAAUCUAUGACUGUCAAACUUUAGUGGUGGUGGCAAUUGCUGUGGGUUUUUUUCCCCCCUAACCUCAUGGCUAUUCUGGGCCAUACUCAAUACCUAUUUUUCCCCCUUUUCUCCCCACUGGAAGAGUGUCUGUGACGGAUUAAUUUUCUAUGAGUGUAAAAUUUGUCAAAAGAUUGUUGUUGUUAUUAUUUUUUUUACUACUCCAGAUUCCUCAUCACUGGUUUCCUUGACUGAUUUGCAACAUUACCUGUUAAUACUUUGCUUUAAUGUUUGUUGGUGAGACUUUUUCUUGUCUCAUCUGUCAACAUUUAUUUGAGUGCCCCCUGUGUGGUGAAUACCGAUGAAAUGCCUGAAUAUAUGCAGUACCACAAAGUGCCAUUCUGGAUAAGACAAAGAUUUUUGGAAUUUGCUUACACCUUAUUUUCUCUUUCUGAAUCAGGAUAAAACCUCUGUUGUGAUGCCAUCUCAACUAAGACCUGAAGAGUGGAUCAGUCAGGCAAAAAGGAAAGUGCACGGAGGUAGAGCAAGGGGCAAAGAUCCUGAAGAUGAGCGAAGUCAUUUUAGAAACUGUACUGGUUCUGUAUGGCAGGAUUGUAUUAUGGAUUAUGUAAA